AGAAAGUUCUUCUCACCUAAGUUGGAAUAAAAUUCUUUUCUAAAAAAAAAAAAAAAUCAUCAGGUCAAACCCCAGUUCCUACAACUUCAUCUUCUUCUUCAACUUCUUCAAGCCUCUCUUCAAUGGUGGGCCAUGGUUCAAGCAUCUCUCCAGUGGCAGUAAUCCACGACCCAGAAGGUCUUCACCAGAUAGAGAUGAGAACCUGUAAGAGAGAGAGAGAUGCCAUGGGUGGUGCUCUGUUCCGUGAAAACCACUGUGUGUGUCUGAUGGUGGUGAUUUGAGGCUUAUAUUCUGCCGAGUAAAGGUUCAUUUUCAUUGGCUUUGGUUUUCUACAGUAUGGGUUUAAAGUUUUCGGGUUCAACGGGUUAGUGUUUGUGGAUUUCUUAUGUUAAAAUCUAUUUGUGUGGCAACUGAAAUUGGUGUUUGAUGGUAGAUGUUGGCCCAGUGGGUGUGAUUUUGGGUUGCUAACUUGCUGUGGUUGAUUGAGUUUAUGGGUUUGAUUUUUAGUCGAAUCCCUUUGGCCUCUGUUUUGUGUUGGCCAAAGUUGAAGGUUGGGUAGGUACUAAACAAGAGGGUGUUUGGAGCUUUAGAGAGGUAUGUUUUGAUUUUUGUUUUGUGUGUUGAUGGUAGUCGGCUGUUCUCCAUAGGUGGAGGAAAUGUGUUGAUUUCCUGUUGAGUCUUUGAGAUGGCUAAUUGGGGAUUUCUGUUGUACUUUUCGGUUUGCCUAUUUAUUUUAUGGAGGUUUUGUGUUU